rnacentral:lncRNA from 1 species
UUAAUUCUAACUUAUCUUUCUCUGUUGCUGGUGUUUAUAGAGGUGUUUCUAGAACCCUAAUGUCAUUGUUGCCUCUGCCUUUUCCAGUCAUUCUAGAAUUGUCUUGUUAAGCAAGAAUUAAACUUGGAUAGAAAAUCAGCUUCUACCUUAAUAACAAGCAGAGCUCUGCAUUUCUCUAACAUUGUGACAUCAUGGCAAGAGUGGCAGGAGAGAAGAUGUAUGUUCAGAGGCAGCCUGAGCUGCCUGUGUUCCCAAGGCAUCCUUUCUAAGGAAUCCAGGCCAAGGUCACCACCACCACACGUGCUUUCUGUGGCAGCCUCAUAGCAGAGAUGUCAUUGGCAAUGUUGAGCCUUCUGAAGAGGAAAAGACAGCCAGCGCUUCUGUUGUUCUCAUAUUCUGCAUAUUUUAUUGCCUUCACCAAUGGAUGGCAACACAAAGUUUUGUGCACCAUCUCCUCAGUCAGAGAUAUUCCUGGGUGGCAGUAAUAAGAAGUGCUUACCUGUUCUCAUUCAGCCUCUUCAAAACAGGAUCUACUGAUUGUUAAUACAGUGGUGCCUCUGCCGUUUCAUAAAGGUCAUUCUGUCACAAAUCUUGUCUGCAGAGGCUCAUUCAGCUAAAGACUCCACAAAACUUGGCUUCACCUCUGCUCAUUUCAACAGUUUAGUGAAGAAAUGACACGUCAUCUGAUUAUCUGAUGCUAUAGCCAGUGGUUUAAGUUUAUGAUCUCAUCGUCAACUUAACAAAGAUGUCAUAGACUUUUCUGAUUGUAAAAUGAAUGGCUAUCCAGGAGUGAAGGAUUGCUCCAUUCCACAUCCUUACUUUCUUGACCUUUGGGCUUUGGUGGGACCUUUGAAAGCAUUUGACAAUGUACCCAAAUUUGUAAAUUAACAAAGUCUCAGAGACCCUUAAGUGACAAGGCAUACAGUGAUCGUAAACAUACCCUAAUUGAAACCUUUUGUAUUGGUAAAUGAGAAAAUGAGGUUCAGAGAUAUUACACUAUUAUAAAGAGAAGAGCUGGUGGUGGCAUGCAGGUUUAACCCUCCUCCUAGUUCUUGUCCUUCCUCGCUCAUUUAACCAACUGACUGCUUAUGGAAUGCCAGGCAUUAUGUAAGGUGCUAGAGAGUCAACAGCAAUAAAAACAGUUUCUGCUUGGAGGCCUUAUAAUCUAGUAUGGAAGGCAGACAAGAAGAGGAAAGUAUAAUAAGUACUGGUAUAGGGAUUUCAGCCUUUCUGUCCGCAUGCCCAGUACCUGAUCUGUUCAUAAUGGAUCCUUGUAAGUGAGUCUUGCAUCUUGGGGCUAUUUUGAAUCAUAUUCUGGGAAACUCUCCACCAUUCUUUCAGGAUACCAGAAUGUCAAGAACUCAAGGAUCAUUGACACCCUGUGAUCAAGUCUUUCAUCUUACCUAUUAGGCAAUUUCAUUGUAUUAAGAUCAAUUUGGUGGAAAUUUAUCUAUGAAAGUUCAGCAGUAACACUACAUUUCUGAUGAAGUCUUGACAGUUUAAAGUUGACAAUAAAUGCCAAAAGCUUACCUUUUUAAAACUCUUCAAUAGGCCUAACCUAUGUAAAGCAUUGCAAAUAAAGUUAAAGUUGACGUCAACGUUUGUAUAGACAAUAAUAAUGGGCUAGGUUGGCAUUCACUGUAAGUCAAAGAAUAAAAUGUGGUAUUCUCCAAAAAGGUGAAAACCUAAAGAACUGACGGUAGAGGAGAGGACAUUAUUUUUACUAGAAUAUGUAGAAAAAUGCAAUUCAAAACUACUGGAAAAGUCACUGUAGAAGACUAAUAUGGCAUUUAGUUAGAAGCUCUGGGCAAAAAGAACCAAAAUCCAGAUAAUUAUGAUAGACAUGUUUCUAAUAAUUUUAUUAUCAUGAGUCCUGAAUAUCAACUAUGUAUUCAUAUUGAAGCUGAAGUUCUGAUGAGAUAGUGGCAUCUUCAUUGGUAAUUGGGCCCGAUGAAGACACAAUGUCUUGUAUCAUAAAUUAGUACUUAAUUGACUGAUUUUUCUUUGUUUCUAAUAAAGAAACAUGAAAGAAAAGACAUACAGAAGGCUUGAAAAGGGUAGAAAGCUCAUUCAAUGUAAAUAUACAGCAUCUAAGAGAAAAGUGAAGAGAUUUAAAUGAAGCUGUCCAGCAGGAGGAAGCAAUAGACUUGUGGAGGCAGACAUGCUUGUUAAGAAGCUCAGUAUGUGAGAGCUCUGAGCGGAUUGGUUCAGUGGAUAAUGGGAAGCCGAUAUUGAGUGAAGAUAAGCAUUAUUCAAGCUGUAAAUCAAGAAAAUUAAAAGACUCAGAAGGUACGGUUAAAAUAGCAGACUCUCUGGAACUGCGCUUCAUUGAGAGUGCCUGGAAACUACUGUCUGCUGGCACGGUUGGCUCUAUUAGUGUGGGGAAAAUGAUUUGUGCUGAUAGUAAUUUCAUCAGAAGAUCUCAGUGCUUCACAAACAUUUCAAAAUGUUCUCCAUGGAUUUUUGAUGCAAGUUCACC